rnacentral:lncRNA from 1 species
UAAAAAGAGAUGGGUACAUAAAUAUGACAACACGGUUGAGUUUCGUCUAUCUUGCUGUCAUUUCGCUCCAUCAGUGGCGUGACGGUGGUGUGGUGUUUUUUAUCCAAAAUUGUAAAAAAAGUUUAUUUUGUGUAUUUUAAUUUAAAUUUUAAUUUGUAAUAUACGUGGUAAUAUCGAUAAUAUACAAUGUAGGGGCGUUUGCACCAAGUUUUUUAAGCAAAACUUAACAUUAUGUUUAGCUUAUUUUCUUGAACUAUGCUUUAAUCUAACUUGAAUUUAUAUUUAAAUUAAGCGGUCAAAUUUCCAGGCUAGUGGCCACUUAACCUGACUAAGGCACAAAAAAUUUGUUUUACGAGGAAGUAUAAUUAUUUUUAUUAUAUUCCUUUGAGAAAGCUAAAAAGUGUAUUAUGAUACCUCUACGUAAGUUCGAUGAUUACUUUUGAUAUCUUAGAGACGUCGAUCAGUAGGUAUAUUCAUUGAAAAUGGAUUUCCUCAAGAGUGGAUGUAAGGAAAAAUCAUAUUUCCAAGAAAUGAACCUCCUUAAGUCUUUAGGACAGAGACUUUUAAAUGACACUGUAAUAUAUAUCCUCGGUUUAAUUGAACAAAAUCUAGAAUAUCAAUAUGAGAGAAACAACAGCAAAAGUGUUUUAAAUCAACUCUUGUGUAUAUUAAGAUUCUACACUUCAGGGGCUAUGUCCAGUCUACAGCUUUUUUUAUGGGCAUGUAUGUUUGUUUCUACCACUUCUCGUAUUAUGUUACAAAAGUAUCCCAUGAACUUCCACUGCUUUACCCUCAGUUCAUAAAAAUGCCUGAAUAAGAAACUCUAGUUUUAGAGCAGGAACAAUUUUAUAGUAUAUUUGGGUUUCCUUGGAUUAUAGGGAUAGUUGAUGGAACACAAUGUAAGAAAACAUUCACCUGGGGGUAAUGAUGGAGAGGUAUUUAGAAAUAGAAAAGCAUUAUUUUCCCCAACAUUUAAAUUACUGGAAAUGCUAGUCUUAAAACUAUAGACAAUAGACAUGAUUGCUUGUUGGCACGGGUCUGUGCAUGAAGCCACCAUUUUUUGGAUAUUAAGGACGUAUUAAGGACCCGCUUGGAGACUCAAAAAUGUGACUUUUCAAAUUAAAUCCUGCUUGGUGAUAGUGCAUAUGCAUUGAGGGGAUAUAUGCAGAAAGAGAGCUGAAGAACUGUAUUACUGAAGAAAUGUUUCAGAAUUAUCGGAAUAUGGAAACGCCACUUUCCAAUAUGUUUUAUGGUAUAAGACCAAAAUUGCAAACCACAAUGUCAGUUAUUGUUGCACAACAAUUUUGUUGUUUCAAUGUGCUACACAAUACAGCCAGAAUGAUACCUGAACAAGAGCUGCCGCCGUUAGAUGAAAUAAAUAUGGACCAAAUUAAUAAGAAGAGAAAUAAUAAAUUAUUUUGAAAGA